UACGGGAGGCAGCAGUGGGGAAUAUUGCACAAUGGGCGAAAGCCUGAUGCAGCUAUGCCGCGUGUAUGAAGAAGGCCUUAGGGUUGUAAAGUACUUUCAUCGGGGAGGAAAAAACAAAACUAAUAAUUUUAUUUCUUGACGUUACCCGAAAAAGAAGCACCGGCUAACUCCGUGCCAGCAGCCGCGGUAAUACGGAGGGUGCUAGCGUUAAUCAGAAUUACUGGGCGUAAAGAGCACGUAGGCGGUUUUUUUAAAGUCAGAUGUGAAUCCCUGGGCUUAACCUAGGAACUGCAUUUUGAAACUGAAAUACUAGAGUAUCGUAGAGGGAGGUAGAAUUCUAGGUGUAGCGGUGAAAUGCGUAGAUAUCUGGAGGAAUACCUGUGGCGAAAGCGGCCUCCUAAACGAAUACUGACACUGAGGUGCGAAAGCGUGGGGAGCAAACAGGGAUUAGAUACC
rnacentral:rRNA from 1 species